rnacentral:rRNA from 1 species
ACGGGAGGCAGCAGUGGGGAAUAUUGCACAAUGGGCGCAAGCCUGAUGCAGCGACGCCGCGUGAGCGAAGAAGUAUUUCGGUAUGUAAAGCUCUAUCAGCAGGGAAGAUAAUGACGGUACCUGACUAAGAAGCACCGGCUAAAUACGUGCCAGCAGCCGCGGUAAUACGUAUGGUGCAAGCGUUAUCCGGAUUUACUGGGUGUAAAGGGAGCGUAGGCGGUUUUACAAGUCUGAUGUGAAAGCCCGGGGCUCAACUCCGGUAUUGCAUUGGAAACUGUAGAACUAGAGUGUCGGAGGGGUAAGUGGAAUUCCUAGUGUAGCAGUGAAAUGCGUAGAUAUUAGGAGGAACACCAGUGGCGAAGGCGGCUCACUGGACGAUUACUGACGCUGAGGCUCGAAAGCGUGGGGAGCAAACAGGAUUAGAUACCCUGGUA